CCUACGGGAGGCAGCAGUGAGGAAUAUUGGUCAAUGGCCGGAAGGCUGAACCAGCCAAGCCGCGUGAAGGACGAAGGUGCCAAGCAUUGUAAACUUCUUUUGUCAAGGGAUAAAAUCAGGCUCGAGAGCCUGACCGAGGGUACUUGAAGAAAAAGCAUCGGCUAACUCCGUGCCAGCAGCCGCGGUAAUACGGAGGAUGCGAGCGUUACUCGGAAUCACUGGGGUUAAAGAGCGCGUAGGCGGGAUAGCAAGUCAGAUGUGAAAUCCUAUGGCUUAACCAUAGAAUUGCAUUUGAAACUGUUAGUCUUGAGUAUGGGAGAGGUAGGUGGAAUUCGUGGUGUAGCGGUGAAAUCCGUAGAGAUCAAGAGGAAUUCUGAUUGCGAAGGCGACCUGCUAGACCAUAACUGACGCUGAUGCGCGAAAGCGUGGGGAGCAAACAGGAUUAGAUACCCGUGUAGUC
rnacentral:rRNA from 1 species